rnacentral:sRNA from 1 species
GUUCGACGAGGUGCUUUAUAAAUCAUCUCAGGACUUUCAACCCAGGCAUAUCGUCAGUUACCUUCUAACUUUAAGAUGGCGUCUCGCUCUGUUGUCCAGGCUGGAGCGUGAUCUCGGCUCACUGCAACCUCCACCUGCUGGAUUCAAGCGAUUCUCCUGCCUCAGCCUCCCUAGUAGCUGGGAUUACAGUCAUCUUGCAGCUGUGGCACACAAAACACUACAAAUAAAAGAUAGUCCUCCUGAAGUGGCUGGGGCCAGACUUCAUCUUUUCAAAGCUGUCCGUUCUGUCCUAGCCAAUGGAAUGAAACUUCUUGGAAUAACACCUGUAUGUAGGAUGUAAUUUCCA